rnacentral:rRNA from 1 species
UUUGAAAUCUGGCUUCGGCCCGAGUUGUAAUUUGCAGAGGAAGCUUUAGGCGCGGCACCAUCUGAGUCCCCUGGAACGGGGCGCCACAGAGGGUGAGAGCCCCGUAUAGAUGGACGCCUAGCCUGUGUAAAGCUCCUUCGACGAGUCGAGUAGUUUGGGAAUGCUGCUCAAAAUGGGAGGUAAAUUUCUUCUAAAGCUAAAUACCGGCCAGAGACCGAUAGCGCACAAGUAGAGUGAUCGAAAGAUGAAAAGCACUUUGAAAAGAGGGUUAAAUAGCACGUGAAAUUGUUGAAAGGGAAGCGCUUGUGACCAGACUUGCGCCGGGCGGAUCAUCCGGUGUUCUCACCGGUGCACUCCGCCCGGCUCAGGCCAGCAUCGGUUCUCGUGGGGGGAUAAAGGCACCGGGAACGUAGCUCCUCCGGGAGUGUUAUAGCCCGGGGCGUAAUGCCCUCGCGGGGACCGAGGACCGCG